UGGGGAAUAUUGGACAAUGGGCGAAAGCCUGAUCCAGCAAUUCCGCGUGGGUGAAGAAGGUCUUCGGAUUGUAAAGCCCUUUCGGCAGGGACGAUGAUGACGGUACCUGCAGAAGAAGCCCCGGCUAACUUCGUGCCAGCAGCCGCGGUAAUACGAAGGGGGCUAGCGUUGCUCGGAAUGACUGGGCGUAAAGGGCGCGUAGGCGGUUCACACAGUCAGGCGUGAAAUUCCUGGGCUUAACCUGGGGGCUGCGUUUGAUACGUGUGGACUUGAGGGUGGAAGAGGCUCGUGGAAUUCCCAGUGUAGAGGUGAAAUUCGUAGAUAUUGGGAAGAACACCGGUGGCGAAGGCGGCGAGCUGGUCCAUUUCUGACGCUGAGGCGCGAAAGCGUGGGGAGCAAACAGG
rnacentral:rRNA from 1 species